GUGAGGGCAGCCUGAGGGGGGUGGGCCCACUGCAGUGUGGAUUUUAAAGAAGCUGUCUCUGCUCUCUAGUGAUUCUCCAGCCUCCCUCAGACCUUCCACCAACUACUGGGCUCUGGCCCUAGGGAAAGUGCUGGAAGGGGAAACGACUUCUUCACCUGCUGCUGAGCCUCAGGACAGGACUGGCCUACAGGUGCAAUGCUCUGGCACACUUAAUGGACUACAAUGGACUUACUAGACUACAAAAAAAGCAGCCGCAGGAGACAGAGUACAUCUGUGAUGAAAAUCUACCGAAGCUGAGACCCAUUCCUUUCCAAGUCCUGUUCCUGCUCGUCGUAGGAUGCGCUGUCUGUGAAAGCUUUGAAGCGGGUGGCAGCGCCUUUGGAGAUGAGGGAAGGCUGGUCAGAGAGCACCAGUGAGCAGGUGCCACCUCUGGCACCUGGUCAUGCCCCAGGUGUGAGAGCUGUGAUAUCUCCAGCCACAACAUCAGCGUUGAUGAUACUCACUGUCAGGUGAGUCCCUGCACAGCGCUGUGCCUAUGAUGGGGAGGGAAUG